rnacentral:rRNA from 1 species
UACGUAGGGUGCAAGCGUUAAUCGGAAUUACUGGGCGUAAAGCGCGCGCAGGCGGACUGAUAAGUCAGAGGUGAAAUCUCCCGGCUCAACUGGGAGGGGCCCUUUGAUACUGUCAGUCUUGAGGCACCUAGAGGAGAGUGGAAUUCCCGGUGUAGUGGUGGAAUGCGUAAAUAUCGGGAGGAACACCAGUGGCGAAAGCGACUCUCUGGGGGUGACCUGACGCUGAGGCGCGAAAGCGUGGGGAGCAAAC